CAAUGUGUCUUGCCAUAUUAGAACUGUCCUCCUCACCCUUGACUGACCCUGAGGGUGUGUUUGUAAUCCUCACCAUGGAACCACUUGCUUAUUGCUUUUGAAAUAGCUCUUUGAAAGGCUGGUUUGCAAAUGUACUCUUGUACUAGUGAGGAGAUGUUUCCCUGGAAUAAUGAGAAAUCUCUCUGUCCUGCUUUUAUAGAAAAACAAAACAAAACAAAAAAGCACCUGCUCCCGAUUUGUUCAAGUAGGAGAAGCUUGGAACUGCACAAAACUUGCCUUUCUGAGGCUCACACGGACUAUAAAUGUGAGAAGCCAUCAGAAGCAAACAACAGCAGGAAAUGUCAAGGUGAGUUACAGGGGUGUGGGAGGGGUUGAGACCAGAUUGUUAGGCAGUCAGGGAUUGUGAUGUCUCUUCAAGAGCAAAUGAAGUUGUGAAAAAAGGUUGGGAAUGGUGUACCAAAAACUUUUGGGGAGAGGAAGGGAGAGAGAGAUCCUCUUGAUUCCCCAACAGUUUGCAGCUGGCCAGAUACUAGAGAGGGUAGCCUUCCAUGUAAGGGUCUGAAUGUGAAUGUCACACCAGCUUGGAGCAGGUGUUCCUGGUUGGUAAGGGGAUUUGGGAAUUGUUGAGAGCAUCAGGACUGUGAGAGGAUCAAAGAACACCAUGCGGAACGGGCAGGUUCUGGAGAAAGACUGGGCUGAGGAGAAAUCUGUGAAUAAAAAGAUGGAGUGGCGGGCGUGUGGCACACGCCUUUAAUCCCAGCACUUGGGAGGCAGAGACUAAAGGGGAGCACAACCACUUCCUGGCUGCUUAAGUUUUUCUUUCUUUCUUUUCUCUCUCUCUCUCUUUUUUUUUUUCUGAGAC
rnacentral:lncRNA from 1 species